UACGUAGGGGGCUAGCGUUGUCCGGAAUCAUUGGGCGUAAAGAGCGCGUAGGCGGCUAGAUAAGUCCGGUGUGAAAGUCACAGGCUCAACCUGUGAAUGCCGCUGGAAACUGUCUGGCUAGAGUCCGGAAGGGGCGAGUGGAAUUCCUGGUGUAGCGGUGAAAUGCGCAGAUAUCAGGAGGAACACCAAUGGCGAAGGCAGCUCGCUGGGACGGUACUGACGCUGAGGCGCGAAAGCGUGGGGAGCGAACGGG
rnacentral:rRNA from 1 species